rnacentral:rRNA from 1 species
AUGAACGCUGGCGGCGUGCCUAAUACAUGCAAGUCGAGCGAACAGACGAGGAGCUUGCUCCUCUGACUUUAGCGGCGGACGGGUGAGUAACACGUGGAUAACCUACCUAUAAGACUGGGAUAACUUCGGGAAACCGGAGCUAAUACCGGAUAAUAUAUUGAACCGCAUGGUUCAAUAGUGAAAGACGGUUUUGCUGUCACUUAUAGAUGGAUCCGCGCCGCAUUAGCUAGUUGGUAAGGUAACGGCUUACCAAGGCAACGAUGCGUAGCCGACCUGAGAGGGUGAUCGGCCACACUGGAACUGAGACACGGUCCAGACUCCUACGGGAGGCAGCAGUAGGGAAUCUUCCGCAAUGGGCGAAAGCUUGACGGAGCAACGCCGCGUGAGUGAUGAAGGUCUUCGGAUCGUAAAACUCUGUUAUUAGGGAAGAACAAAUGUGUAAGUAACUAUGCACGUCUUGACGGUACCUAAUCAGAAAGCCACGGCUAACUACGUG